ACAGCAGUAGCCGCGGUAAUACGUAGGUGGCAAGCGUUGUCCGGAAUUAUUGGGCGUAAAGUGCUCGCAGGCGGUUUCUUAAGUCUGAUGUGAAAGCCCCCGGCUCAACCGGGGAGGGUCAUUGGAAACUGGGAAACUUGAGUGCAGAAGAGGAGAGUGGAAUUCCACGUGUAGCGGUGAAAUGCGUAGAGAUGUGGAGGAACACCAGUGGCGAAGGCGACUCUCUGGUCUGUAACUGACGCUGAGGAGCGAAAGCGUGGAGAGCGAACAGGAUUAGAUACCCCUGUAGUCCCUGUCUCUUAUAC
rnacentral:rRNA from 1 species